rnacentral:rRNA from 1 species
UACGUAGGGCGCAAGCGUUGUCCGGAAUUAUUGGGCGUAAAGAGCUCGUAGGUGGCUUGUCGCGUCUGCCGUGAAAGCCCAUGGCUUAACCGGGGAACUGCGUCUGAUACUGGAUGGCUUGAAUCCGGGAGAGGGAUGCGGAAUUCCAGGUGUAGCGGUGAAAUGCGUAGAUAUCUGGAGGAACACCGGUGGCGAAGGCGGCAUCCUGGACCGGCAUUGACGCUGAGGAGCGAAAGCCAGGGGAGCAAACGGG